rnacentral:rRNA from 1 species
UACGAAGGGGGCUAGCGUUGCUCGGAAUCACUGGGCGUAAAGGGUGCGUAGGCGGGUCUUUAAGUCAGGGGUGAAAUCCUGGAGCUCAACUCCAGAACUGCCUUUGAUACUGAGGAUCUUGAGUUCGGGAGAGGUGAGUGGAACUGCGAGUGUAGAGGUGAAAUUCGUAGAUAUUCGCAAGAACACCAGUGGCGAAGGCGGCUCACUGGGCCGAUACUGACGCUGAGGAGCGAAAGCGUGGGGAGCGAACAGG